rnacentral:rRNA from 1 species
AUUUAAAAUCUUGCUUUAAAUAUUAUAAAAAGUAUAUAUAUAAAGUCUAAUACUUAUAAAAAUAAUUUAUAAAAAAUAACGUUGAAGUAAAGUUUAUUGAAACAUUUUGUUAAAAGCUAUAGUAAAAAGUACUGUAAAGGAAAGUUGAAAUAAAAUGAAAAAUAUUAAAUAAUUUUAAGCAAUUAUAAAGUUUUGUACCUCGUGUAUCAGGGAAAAUUAAAUUAAUUUCCUAUAAUAAGGUAAGUCCCGAAAAAAGAAGAGCUAAUGUAAUAAAAAGUUAUCGUGUUAAAGAUAUUUUAAAUAUUGCUUUAGUAAUGAAAUGUUAAUCGAUUCUUUAUAUCUGGUUGCAAGUGAAUUAAAUUUAAUUUUAUGGCAUUUGUUUAAAUACUUUGUCUUUAAGAAAAGGAGGAAAAAGCUUCUUUUUCUAGAAAUAAUUUUACUGAGUUUAAAAGCAAAAUUAAGUAUGUUAUAAAUUUUAAAAUUAGGCUUAGAAGCAGUCAUAUUUAUAAAGCGUUUUAGCUAAUAAAUCAAUAACUUAAUAUUUAUAUACCUUAAAACCUGUAUUAGUAGCUUGUAAGUUAAUUAAUUAAUUUUGUUAAUUGUUAAAAUGAUGUUAUUAGUAGAUAAUUUAUUGUGUUAAAGAAAUAUUUUUAAAUAUUUACAGUUCUAUAAAUAUAAAAUACUUUAAAUAUACAGUUAAGGAAUUCGGCAAAUCUUUGCUUUUGCCUGUUUAUCAAAAACAUGUCUGUGCGAAGGUAUGUAGAGUCUGGCCUGCCCACUGACUUAGUUUGUUUAAAGGGCCGCGGUAUUUUGACCGUGCGAAGGUAGCAUAAUCAUUAGUCUUUUAAUUGAAGGCUUGUAUGAAUGGUCGGACAAAAAGUAAGCUGUCUUCAACUGUAAAAAUUGAAUUUGACUUUUAAGUGAAAAGGCUUAAAUAAUACAAAGUGACGAUAAGACCCUAUAAAGCUUUAUAGUGUAAUCUUUUAUUAUAAAUUAUGAAAUCGUAUAACUUAGUUUAAGACAAAACUCUUUCGUUGGGGCGACGAAAAUAUAAUAAAAUAACUGUUUUUGUUUAAAUAAAACAAAUAUAUUUGGUUUUAAUGAGUGAUCCUUUUUUAAAGAUUAAAAGAUUAAGUUACUUUAGGGAUAACAGCGUAAUCUUCUUUGAGAGUUCAUAUCGACAAGAAGGGUUGCGACCUCGAUGUUGAAUUAAGGUUCCUCCGUGGUGUAGCAGCUGCGGUUGGAGGUCUGUUCGACCUUUAAAUCCUUACAUGAUUUGAGUUCAGACCGGCGUAAGCCAGGUCGGUUUCUAUCUUUUGUAUUUAAUAAAAUUACUUUAGUACGAAAGGAUUAAGUAAUUGAAAUAAUUUUUUUCGGUUAGAUUAAUGUUAAUAUUAUAUUGCCUUGGCAGAAUUAUGCACUAGACUUAGGAUCUAAU